CUUUAGAGAAAAGAGCUGACCCCGUGAGCCAGCGAUCGGCCCCGCAGAGGUACCAGGGCAGACCCCAGGCAUGGCAGGCUGUUGGACACCAUUGGAACAGACAUCAACUUCGUGCAAAGAAUGAAGUACGAAAACCUAUAACAUUCACCAGCCCAAAGUCAGGUCAAAUAUCUUCAGAUUGUGGUGGAUCAGAGCACAUGGACAACGUGGACAACGGUCAUGAAGACUUCACCCCACUGACCCUACUACAUCACAGGAUAAUAC
rnacentral:lncRNA from 1 species